rnacentral:rRNA from 1 species
GUGCAGCUGCGCGUGCUUAAACAUGCAAGUCGAACGCUGAAGCUUGGUGCUUGCACUGGGUGGAUGAGUGGCGAACGGGUGAGUAAUACGUGAGUAACCUGCCCUUGACUCUGGGAUAAGCCUGGGAAACUGGGUCUAAUACUGGAUACGACAUGUCACCGCAUGGUGGUGUGUGGAAAGGGUUCUACUGGUUUUGGAUGGGCUCACGGCCUAUCAGCUUGUUGGUGGGGUAAUGGCUCACCAAGGCGACGACGGGUAGCCGGCCUGAGAGGGUGACCGGCCACACUGGGACUGAGACACGGCCCAGACUCCUACGGGAGGCAGCAGUGGGGAAUAUUGCACAAUGGGCGAAAGCCUGAUGCAGCGACGCCGCGUGAGGGAUGACGGCCUUCGGGUUGUAAACCUCUUUCAGCACGGAAGAAGCGAAACGUGACCGUACGUGCAGAACAAGCGCCGGCUAACUACGUGAACAGCAGCUCGUCAGUAAUAUCGUAGGGCGCAAGUUCGUUGUCCGGAAGUAUAGGGCGUAAAGAACUCGAA